rnacentral:rRNA from 1 species
UAGUCUGCAACCCGACUACAUGAAGCUGGAAUCGCUAGUAAUCGCGGAUCAGAAUGCCGCGGUGAAUACGUUCCCGGGUCUUGUACACACCGCCCGUCACACCAUGGGAGUCGGAAAUGCCCGAAGUCUGUGACCUAACCGUAAGGAAGGAGCAGCCGAAGGCAGGUCGGAUGACUGGGGUGAAGUCGUAACAAGGUAAC